AAGUUUAUUCAAAGUUAAUUCAGUUUAAAAUCUAGCUGAGAAAAAGAAAGAGGUGAAUUGAGUAAAUCUGGGUUUGGGGGAACUUUUUGAAGAAAAAGGUUUAUCUGAGAGAAAAAUUCGAGGGUUUAAUGUGGCAGAUGCCUAAGUGUUGAUUUUGCAGGAUCUAAUCAUCUCUUCUCCCUCUGUCCGAGUCUUCUUUUUUAGGUGAGGGCAAAAAACUCAGGCUGGAUAAGAUGCUGGCGGAUAUUUUGUAGUGUGGGUGCAGAUGCAUUUUUUUCAAGGGAAAAAACCUGAGAUAAAUCAGGAAGGGUUAGGACAAGGAUUUGUUAGUGCGUUGUUUAAUUUUGUAAACCAUGCGUCUGGUGGCAGUGGACAGUGGAACUUGUCGGACUUUGACAAAUUUCUGAAAGGAGAGGCAUGGGUGGGAUAACUGCGAAUAACCUCCUGUAAACGCCCAUGAGGCAUUAGAAUCCAUGAAGUGCGGUGGGGUACUUGGGGUGAGGUCCGGUGGUGAAUGCUGAGAUCUUUUCUGGGUCGAGGGACACUCUCCCAUCUUAGGUGAUGUGGCCUAGGUAGGUAACUUCUGAAACUCCAAAGAUACAAUACUUAGAUAAAAAAACUUGUUAGAAACAAGUGCGUCUAAAACUAAGCCGAAAUGUGUUUUAUGUUCAGGGAGAUAAGAACUGCUAUAGGAAUAUUAUCUAAGAAACCAAGGGCAAAUUGUUGGUUGAAAUUAAUGAACCAAGUAAUUCGUUAUUGAUUUGAAGGUGGAUAGAAAAUUAGUAACCCAAAAGAUUUGAUUAGAAGUUGAUCCACAUUAGGAAUAUGGAAUUGGAAUUUAUCCUUGACUUAACAACAUAUAAGGCCCUGUAGUUAACACAAAAUUGCCAUGACCUACCUAUCUUCUUAACAAGGAGAAUAGGGGAGGAGGAGGUAGGGGUGUGGGAUAAGAAUUGUGAGUCCUUCUUGUAACAUUUUGUCGGAUGGUGGUGGUAAUGGCCCUUUAGGGGACUGGGAUAGCAAUAGGGUUUGACUAUCAUGGGAGGGGUGUAGUAGGUGCGAUAGGGUUUGUUUUGUUUGUUUUCGCAAAUGUUCUAGUGUUUCACUUUCAAUUGUCAUUACCGUUGUUUAUUUUGUAUUGCUGAUAUUUUUAUCAUAUUUUCUUUAGAAUGUCAGCUUCCCAUCUCCCUAUUUAUUUCUAUGGUGGGAAUUAUGAAUAUGAAUUCCCUUUUGUCAACUCAAAAUGGGAAUGUGUACGCAUAAAAUAAUGAUAAAAAAUUUAAGGUAGAAAACCCUCUCAGUGUGAGUAAGGAAAAUCCUAUAUGCAUCAAUGGAAUUACCUGCAUGUGAUUCCUUCUAGCUCCUCAGAACUCAGUACAUCUUUGCAAGUCCUAUGCAUUAACAAGUGUAUUUAAUUGUGUUGUGGCUGCUGUUAUGGAGGAAUCUCCAAGAUUUAGCAGUCACAGAUCACAGUCAUAGAUUCACAAGCUAACUGAUCAUGUUAUGGAUCUGUUAGUACCAAAAUAGUUGAACAUUUUUAUUCAUUUACCCUCAGUAUACACGUUC